CUACGGGAGGCAGCAGUAGGGAAUCUUCCGCAAUGGACGAAAGUCUGACGGAGCAACGCCGCGUGAGUGAUGAAGGCUUUCGGGUCGUAAAACUCUGUUGUUAGGGAAGAACAAGUACNAGAGUAACUGCUCGUACCUUGACGGUACCUAACCAGAAAGCCACGGCUAACUACGUGCCAGCAGCCGCGGUAAUACGUAGGUGGCAAGCGUUAUCCGGAAUUAUUGGGCGUAAAGCGCGCGCAGGCGGUUUCUUAAGUCUGAUGUGAAAGCCCACGGCUCAACCGUGGAGGGUCAUUGGAAACUGGGGAACUUGAGUGCAGAAGAGAAAAGCGGAAUUCCACGUGUAGCGGUGAAAUGCGUAGAGAUGUGGAGGAACACCAGUGGCGAANGCGGCUUUUUGGUCUGUAACUGACGCUGANGCGCGAAAGCGUGGGGAGCAAACAGGAUUAGAUACCCUGGUAGUCCACGCCGUAAACGAUGAGUGCUAAGUGUUGGAGGGUUUCCGCCCUUUAGUGCUGCAGCUAACGCAUUAAGCACUCCGCCUGGGGAGUACGGUCGCAAGACUGAAACUCAAAGGAAUUGACGGGGGNCCCCACAANCGGUG
rnacentral:rRNA from 1 species